rnacentral:misc_RNA from 1 species
ACAAGGUAAUGGCUUGGAAGCUUCAACUCGCCAUCAUACUCGAGCAUUCCAGCAUAACGGAUUUUAGGGUAUCUGACUCUUUCAAAUUUGUCAAAAUUCUCGUAUUCAAGUGCCUUGGCAAGCAUAACCAUACGAUCUGCACGGAAGUUGAAUGUGACAACAGCAUCACCAUCCACAACUGGGCCCACAGGCUUCCCAUUCUCAUCAACAAUGACAAAAGGAGGUAAGUACUGGUCAUUAGCUUUGGGAACUUCUCUUAGUUUCUUGACAGCUUCAACAGCAUUCCGAAACUUAUGUGGGGCUUCACCAAGGACCUGAGCAUCCCAUCCUCGUUUCACAACAUUCCAGUCAUUCUCAUAACGAUCCAUUGUAACAUGCAUGCGGCCUCCACCAGAUGCAAUCUGUGCAUCAACACCUUUCUCACGUAAAUUUGCAAGGUCUUUCUCUAGAGUUUCUACAAAGCCAACACUUGUACCAUCUAUAACAUCGCGUCCAUCAGUAAGAACAUGAACUCGUAUUCUUUUAGCACCAUGUUCAGCAGCACCUUUUAGCAACAACUGCAACUGAUCAAGCCUGGAGUGAACACCACCAUCACUCAAUAAGCCAAUAAGGUGUAAAGUACCAGAUGCAAAGGAUUCCUGUAUGUACUUAAAUCCCUCUCCAUCAAAGAUUUUUCCAGAGGCAAGAGCAAGGUCAACAAGCUUUGCGCCUUGAGCAUAAAUGCGUCCAGCGCCAAG